rnacentral:lncRNA from 7 species
GAUGAAGAAGUCCUGUGCACAUCAGGGAGAUGUUGGGCUGCUGAGCCAUCCUCCAGCUUUUAACAAAGACAUAGAGUUGGCUUGAAUUUGGACAGAUUUCAAGAAGUGAAAAAGGAACAUACUCGUGAUUGACAGCUGCAGCAGUCCUGGGACCAAGUCUCUACAGCCAGUUUUCAACACCUGAAAUUACUGAUGACUGACGGAGACAUCCCACCUCCAAACAUUGCCCGUUACCAGCUAUCUCCUUUUGCUUGGAUCUCCCUAACUCUGAGCAGUGCUACAAGAAAGAGAGCCUUGAUCCAGCAAGCAGCUGUAGCACCUUGGGAAAUCACUCAGCACAUAGCCAUGCACCAGAGAGAUCUAAUUAACAUAAUGAUAGGGGCUAUAAGAGGCAGCUGCCAACAGGGAACCCAAAAGAAAAGUAGUUUGAAGGGUGGAGUUGUAUGUUUGUCUGCCUGGUUGCUUACACCUUCUGAGGGAAAUUGGUAUUUUUGGGGAAAUCUGGAGUGACAAACUACUUAGAAGAAGCGUGGAGGCGAGCAUGGAGACCAUGAAAGCAGAACUGCCUUGUUAGAGCUGCAAGACACUGCUCCAACUCAUCAGCCACAAGCAGCAAAGAAAAAAAAGAGGAAACAAGAAGGAUCUGCUGCUGAGAGGCAUCACAUCACGGGUAGCUGCAAGUUAUCAGCUCAGGUCCCACGUACAAGGUGCUGUAACAGGAACUGGCCGAUCUGCUGCAGAGCCUACAUGCUAACAGCCCACAGCCCUCCUGGCUCCAAGCUCUCUGAGUGGAGUGAUGAGGAAAGAGACAGCAUCCUUCUUCCUUUCUCCUGAUUUCUUUCUGGUGACUUUUGGGAGCCUGAAGCACUAUUUUUCAAAGAGAUCAGCAUGAUCAUACUCAUUCUGCCAAGUAAGCAACCAGACCAAUCCAGUUUCUGACUUCUGUCUGUUCCAAUUAUCCAAAUCCACUGACCACAGACCGGUGACUGCACUUUGCUAUCCACUGAACAGGGAGCAUCAUCCUGUACUUUAGCUCUGGUUGGUGUAGUUACAUAUGUUCUAUUGUUACACAAUACAGCCCAGCUCCCUAUUAUACUAGAAUUUUAACUGUGUAUAAUGUAUUACAUCAUGUAAUCUCAGUUUACGCCCUGCAUGAUUAUUUCCUCUAUUAAGGAUACAGUGAAGAUGCUUUCAUUGAGAAGUGUCGUAUUCAAACACAUUAUAUUUUCUCUCCAGUGAAAAUUUAAAACCCUGACUUUGUGUUUCUUGUUGGCACACCUGCACUUCCCUGUGGAAUAUUACUGUUGAUCAAGAAUUUUAACAAGAUUGAAUAAGAGGUUAGAGGUACAAAUGGCAAAGUGGCAGUAUUUUGUAAAACUGCUGUGAUUUUGCCAGUGUUUUCUUUAAGUGAAAAAAAGUCUGAUAAAAAUAUUUUUUAAAAAUAUAAUCUUUAAAACAUUUUCAGAGUGAUGAAUCUUGGUUUUUGUUUUGAAAAUGACUUUUCACCUAGAAUGUUUAACCUUGAAGAAGAUUGAAUUAUAUAUAUACACAUGUGUAUAAAUCUUCUACAACAGAUAAUUGUUGUACAUCAACUGAGCCAAAACAUUUUUCUCCUGAAUUUUCUUGCAUGGAAAAUUGUGGAAUGUCAGUGUUUCUUUGCAGACUGGAAAUACGAUUUUUAAAUACCAUUCAUGUACCCUAUAGGUCAUCUCAUUAAAGGUCCUUCGUCUUCUGUAUCAGUUUUGAGAUUCAAAAUUAGGGAAAUCCUUGAUAUGUCAAUUCAUAAUAGGUGUAGUUUAACAACUCCUUGAGAUAGUUGGGAACUCUGAGCUCAAGCUUCUCCAAAAUUCAAAGAUGUUCUAAACUUUGGUUACAUUUGGAACCUCUCUCCAAUAAAUAUUAAUGAGGACUCUUUCAGGAAUGGUAGACAUAAAGAGAUCUGUAAAAGGCAAUCCCAUUUUGGAUCAUCUCAGAUCAGAAAGAACAAUACAUCUUACUCAGCAUCUUAAUAUAUAUUUUUGCAAAUUAAAGAGUGAAUUAGGACAAGGUAACUAAUUGAAUCCCAAAAUUUAGUGAUCUUCUCCUCAUCCGUUAAUUAGUUUUUAAGGCCUUGAACACCUAGAAGAGCCAUCAUGGUUAUUUUUCAGAUGAGAUUAACUAAGACUGUAGCAGAAUUACUGCCAGUGAAUUUAGUCGUAUUCAUAACAACCAAUUCUGUUUAUAAAAUGUUGCAUGAACACUCCAUAUUUUGCUUUGUGUGAAUGCAUUUUCUUAGUACAACUAAACCUGACAGGAUUGCAAAGUUCAAAUCCAGAACUUCAGCGAGGGGUUCAAUCUGCUGUUCUGACCCCAGACACUCAUGCUCAAAUUUCUGCAGGUCUGCAGGUCUGGAAAUUAUGUACUGCUCUGAGCUCAUCUUCACAUUAUGUCAUCCUACAAACAUGGUGAAUGAAGUCCAAAUCAACCCUGAACCCAGAGAAACACCUUUAGCAGGAUGAAUUUUGAUAUUAUCUAGGAUGUACAGAGGCAUAAAGUACAUUUAAAUAAAAUGAACAGCAGUUCUUC